AGAGGCCAGGAGCUAGAGGAAGGCAGGGUUCAGAUGGACCAGAUUAGCCUGGGGAUUGCUGGAAGUGCCAAAGCUGAAGGCAUAAAAAUGAAAAAUGAUGAUUUGCUGAGAAAUGAUACACAGCAGAAACCAUACGUCCAGGACCCCAUGAUACAGACAUGGUGCAAAUGGAGAGGAAAACAGACACAGAGCGGGUCCAUCCAGAAUUAAUUUCCAAUUUGCAGAGCUGCUUGUUUGUGUGUUACAUCUGCUACCCAAAUUAACAUUCCUGCAUCUCCGAUUUCCUGUGGCGUCCACUCAAUGUACAACGACAACCUGGACCCGAAACAAUCCGAUAAAAUGCAUUCCUUUUUGGUUCAGCCUCAUGGACUAUUGACAGCGUGCAGGGGACUUGGGGACUCAGCUGAGUUUUACAAUAGCAUCCCUGCCGAUUUCCUGGUCAAUAUUUCUCCGGGUGGUUAAAAUACUCCUCGAAAUGUCCCAGUUGCCAACUUGCUUCUGGGUUCCCUUUAUAUUUAUGGAGGUUUAUCACAAAAGCGGCUGCCAUAAAACUUCAAGAGGAGGCCACAUAACUGUUUUUCCCAAGGACAGGGGAUGGGUACUAAGAGCAGGGUCUGUGGUUUAGAUGUCCACUGGGGUUUGUUUUUCCUGAACUUUCUGUGAAUUGUGCUUGUGAUACCAGCUCUUUUGAAUUGGAUUUUAAAUGUA